rnacentral:lncRNA from 1 species
AACAGUGGGACCUCAGUACUGAAUCACACCGUUGGUAACAUAUUUUGGCUAAGGGUUAAAACAUGUAUGAAAAGGACUAAAUAAAUGUUAAAAAAAAAGUGUUUUAGAAGUUCAGACCUGCCCUCAAACCUCACUGCAGUAGAAGUUAAGCAGAAUGCAUUUACUCAUGAUACCUAAUAUAUUGAAUGUGUACCAUGAAACCAGCCUGUGUUGAGCCCCUCACAUUACAAUUAAUUCCCCCUCAGUGUGAGAUUUACUGACCUAAUAAAGGUCCUCUAUUGAAAGAAAUGGAGCUAGUUCUCUUAGAUUUUAACACAGGAGUCUGGCUACCACCUUUAUGUGAACAAACAAGAUGGCUUCCUCUGCAGCAGGGACGUCCAUUAAACCCAUUACUCUGACCAUUUUAACGAACUGGAUGGUGUAUUUUCAUGGUUUAGUUGUGUUAGUGAGGAACUUUAGAUGAGAUUAAACAAUUUACAACAAUUUUAGUCACUGUCUGGGUGUGGGAAUGAGGUGUUUUUGAUGUCCUCCUAGUACAAUCCAGUGUCCAAUCCAAGGUUGUUUUUGAGUUAUAUUUUUGUCAUUUAUUGAUAAAGUGAAAAACAAACAAAGACAGAUACAUCCAACUUACUACAAUGGUGUUGUUCGGGAUGAGGGUGUGAGUGGUGUCAGAGAUAAGCGGUAAAAACCGUGUGCUCUUCACCUGUGUCUCUUUGUAGCAUUUACCUGCCCAUUCACCUGAAGUGCCCCUUGUGGUGAUUGUGCGAGUACCACAACAAAAUCCCCCAAAUAAUAUAGAUAAAAUGGCUCAUUCACCAGCUAUGAUGAUGAUAUUGUAAUGUGGACAUUGUGUUGUUACAGAUUUUGGAUAAUGAGGACACCGAAGAGGAAGGUGAUGAGGAAGACUGCCUGAACAAGCUGCAUGAAUACUGUAAGUUUGCAUCUUGAUCCAAAUGUAAGCUGCUUUUGUCUUCUGCUAGAGGUGUGUGCUGUUGUUUCCACUGUGCUGUCAUUAAUCAAAAUUACCAAAAUAAUAUAGGAAUUAGGGAUGCAUGAUCUUGGCAACAGGUAUCACUCUAAUACUGAGUAUUGAUGACAAAGGGCGGAUCCACAGAACUCAGUUUGACCCUAUUCUGUGUUUACAGUGACCGUGUGUGUGUAUUGUGCAUUUUUAAGCAGAGAGCUGAUGUAGCAUAAGGGAACUAACUAAAGAAAGUCAACAAUUCGUGGGUUGCUUGUAUACACCAACACAUUUAUCUUUUCAAUGAUGAAUAAUGAUGAGGUCAGUUUGGAUACAUAUUUGUGGAUUUUUAUAGUGGCUUACAAAGUUACAAAAGUCUGAUGCUGCCAAAACAUAAUCAGUUUUCUCAUCCUCAUGGGGGAAUUCAGGUUGUUUUGUAGCAGGUUUAGAUCAGAUCAAAUUAGUAUUGGUACUGGCGGAUAAAAAAGUCAAGGUGUCUUUAACCAAAAAGUUGAAUCAGUUCACCUGUAAUGGAAAUCAAGAUCCUUCAUUGAAUCUUCAGGUAUUCUCUGGGAUCAUUUGUACAACACAGAAGUAAGUUUUGAGUAUUUGUCAGGAACAAAUUUAUUUUGUAGGUGUUUUCUCUGAGUUUUGUCUUUAAUUUUGUGCUUAUGGACUUAUGGACUUUUUUUAUUUCUUGUUUCUGUCUCCAGGCUUACAGUUGUCAUGCGAAAACAUUUCUGAAGCUCUAAUUUAAAAAAAAAGAGCAGGCCUGAACAUAUUAAGAGUUGUGGUGUGUCCUGUUGGAGACUGGGCAUAUGAUUAUAACAUACCUGGUUCAUAUCUAUUUGUACAAAUUGCAUGCACUCAGAGACUUUAGCUGUCACUUUCAAAGUUGAACGUAUACUUUGUUACUUUACUUCAGAGGCAUAUUGUGUCUCUAUGUGCGGAUGAAAGAUUCAGCCAGCCCUUACAUAGUGUUUCUCCACAUAGACUAUUGUGAGUCUGUUGCUGAUGCUUGACAUGUUCACCUUUACCACCAAGACUUAAAUAUUAGCUAUGAAAUGCCAGGAUAUGUGCUGGGUGUAUGCGUGUAUGGGCCUUUAGGGCUGCACUAUUAUUACAUGUUGAUGGGAAUGUAAAUCUAUAUGUAAAUGUAAUUCAACAGACUAUCACCAUCAGUCAUAUUUAUGACACACAGAAUAUACAGCAAAAUUAUACCAUCCUGGCUCAUGUGAAGACUGCGUUGCAUUAAAAUCCAAAUCACCCGUCCCCUCACCAGCCUUUCCAUAUCAUGAGAGUAAUUGUGAACUCUGUAUAUCCAACUAUAGGUGUCGCCGCCGGCAUAAUAAAAGUGAGUAAAUGGUUGUGUGAUAGGGAAUUGGGGUGAAUGCCAUCUGAUUCCAGAGGUUUCUCCAUGCGUGUCAACAUAGGGAAAGGCCAUCACAGAGCUGGAUUGUUCCUUUGCUGAAAGGUUAUAGGCUGCACCUCAUGUUUCAACUCUAUCACCUCUUAUAGCCCAUGUAUACAUCUGAGACACGUACAAACACACACACACUUCAUAUCCUGCAUCUGUUUUGUUUUUGGGGAAGGGCCCUCUGCCCCCGCUGCUCCCCAUAUCUCUCCCUAAAUUGGAUGCAGGUCCGGGAUGCCUCAGUAACUCGCUGAAAUUGUGAUGUGGCUGCCUGAUUUUGGGUUCCAUGCAUUCUUCAGUAUUUAUCAUUAUUAUUUUAAAAAAGGUAGAAGAGGCUGGCUGAAUGGAGGCAUCUGGUUCAGCGGUUCAUCUCUGAGCGUCCUGACCAGUGGCGUGUUGAGGAUGGAUGGAGAGUCCCAGACAGGGAUUUAAAGUCUCCCAUUUCCAAUCACAGGAUCCAGAGGGAAGGUUCUGCCUGAUGAAUGAUCUUUAUUGAGAAGGAGGAGUUAAAAGAAGCAUGUCAUUGCUCGCAUUUGAUGGUGUUUGUAUGUGCUAUGAAGGCUCCUACCUUCAUUUUGAACCAGGUGCUGCAGCCAACUUUUUCAAUGGGGUGGUUGAUCAAAACAGGAUUCUCCACAUUUACUGUGGUAUAUUGGCAAUAUUCUGCAGCUAAUGGUUAUCUAUGUACAAAAGAAGUUGUUUUAAAGCCAAAAAAAUGACCCAACUGUGUCUUUAGCGCUGGAUUUUGCUCAGAUUUGAGCCACAUUCAGAGGAUGUGACAGAUGUGCUAUAAAAACUAGUAUUUUAUUGUCUUUUUCUACAAGUUUUGAUCUCAGAUGCUUCCUCAAAAAUGGCUGAACAGUAGAGUAAGCCUGUCUUGAAAAUAUAUAGCAUGUUGUCCUUUAAAUAUUUCUGUUUUUCCUGGACAUUUUAAGCUCUUGGAAUACAUAAAGAACAUUUUUGUGGACUAAGCAAGUAAUUUAUUUGGUCAGUGGACACCUUAGAAUUUUUUUCUAGGUGUAUGUCAGAGAACAGUUCGAUGUAACCGUUCAGCCUCAGCCAGCAAAGACGUAGCUGUGAGCUGUAACUGGUUGCAUCAGCUUGUUUCAGUUCUGUGAGCCCUGCUGAAAACGAAUCUGCUUCCUCUUUUGCUGUUUGUGCAGGCUUCCUUGUAACUGUAUGUAUGUAAAUACAACCAGUCAGCCUGUAUCAAAGCAGCCAGGCAGGAGGAAUUCCUUAAAAAAAAAAGAGAAAAAACUUGCCCUGGAUCAGCGCUUCUGAACAAAAAUGGCUCCCAUGCAUCACCCAUAUGAGGCCCUCUGUGCUGGAGUCCCUCGCAAACACUGCAAGUACAGCAGCUUCGAGUCCCAUCAGCAGAGUUUUUCUAUCGCCGCCACACACACACACUUUGUUGAACCAUUUUUCAAUCAUAUUACCAAACUGUAGGUGUUGUAUUUUUAUUCAUUUAGAUGGAUAUCGCAGCAUCAAAUAGCUUAGCAGGAUAAGAAACUGAUGGUGUAUUAGAGGGAUUCAGUGGAUUCUGGAGUUAAUAUGCCAAGUAGAGCAUGUAGUAAUCAGCAGCAUGGCUCACAUGCAGGAAGAAACAAAUGAUCAGAGUCAGCCAGAGGGGGAUGAGGAGCUGUCACAAGAGCAAAACCUUACAUUUCAGCCAGGUUACAAAAUCCUUUUAGGCUUUUUUUCUCUUUUAUUCACACUGGUGUAUAUUUAAAGACCAUAACACAUACCACAGGUAUUAAUGCAUGGUGCCUAUUGACACCACCUUCACCACCGCUAGCUUUGCUGGUGACACAUAAUAACAUAAAUAGAAAAGAAGCCAGAGGGUUUUGAAUUUUAUUUUGCUAGUUCUCUCUGUAAAAUAUUGGAUAAUACAAGCGGUGUGGAUGACGCAAAUAAGAUAUUCAGUCAUAAUAUCAAUUUUGAAAUGUGGUAUUUUCAGCAAAGCUCAAACUGUACGUCUAACACUUAAAGAGAGGAGAUUACGUUUGACUUGGCGUACAUUAAUGCCAUAUUGCCCUUUGAUAAAGAAGCACAAGUGGACAGUUUAAGGGGUAAAUAUCUAAAAAAUAUAGAGCAGCUGUAAACCUUCAUGCUCCCUUUUGUUGUUUUACACCUUUUCUCCUCUGGAACUUACUUAUUUUAAUAUAAAAUUAAUAGCCAGAGCAGACCAAACAGCCCUACACAAACAGAAACAUACACACGAACACACUACAAGCAGCAAAUUUUUGUGUAGCUCUGUGGUCAACAGUCUGUCUGUGCUUUAAGCAAGAGGAGCCUAGGAGCAAGGGAACAAGCCUGACAACACCUUUUGAGACCAGGCCAAGUGACUUGUGCCUAUGGGGAUUAAAUUUGUGAACAGAAGCUCUAUACACAUGUACACACACGCAGAAAAGUCCCACAUGCACACACAAUGGCCACACGAUGCCACAACACCUCUUUCUCAGCUGCGAGUAUAAAACCAUAUUGACGGAAACCGUGUCCUCUCUUGUCCAGUGGUCACGCUGAAAUGUUUACCUUUCCAUACAAAUGGCCCGGUGUCAUGUUGUGUCACAUAACGUUUCAUGGACAAAUAAUGUGUCCCAUUUCUCAAUUCCGCCUUGCAGCCCUUAAGCCCUAUUCUUCUAAGCCCUAUAGUCACACCAACUACCAGGUACCAGGGUGACAUAAAAGGGACCCUGUCCCCCCACAGUGAAGUGCCACUCUGAAUUAAAUCCCAGAGAUGUAGGGGUGAUUUCAAUCGGCACCACGGCUCUGAGGAUGAAACCGUAAAAACCGACUAGACUAGGACGUUGUUUUUACAAUGUUUAAAAGCGUGUUUCUUUGUCUUAGCGUACAAAAAUUGACAAAAAGUAGUUUUAUGAACAACCAAAAAUUAAGCGGUAAUACAAGCAAAAAAAAAAAAGGAUUCCACUGAGGAGAAAUCAGUGAUGUAUUUAGACAAAACAUCAGUCGUGGAAUUGAGACUUUUUAAUGAUUAGAAAAAACUGGUCCAUAUUAAGGUUUAGAGCCAAAUUAGGUAUGUAUGAUCUGCUGUAACCUUUGUUAAACCAGAGUAGCUUACAAUGUAGUUUAAGUAGGUUCAACCUUAAGCAACUGUAACACUAAGCUGAUUUAAAUGAUAAUCCAUGUGUCAAACAUUUUCAACAUUGAUAUUUUGAAUAACAAACAAUACUAUAAGGCCUUAAUUUAUAAUGAGCCGUAUUUCCAGUGUGAUAAUUAUUGUUUUAGAUCAGCAAAGGCACAACAUUUUUCUCCCAGGUCAAUUGAAGUAAAACGCACACACACCCACACACACCAAACCACCUUUAUUUAUUCAUGGACUCUCAUCAACACAAACAUAAAUGUCAGGGUUUAAAAUGGUCUUUUUCUUUAGUUUAGCCUAAAUUUAAUCAGUCAUAGUUAAAAACAAAAGUCCUGGAGGAGAAACACUGAGCGUCUCUUCUUGUGUUUUAGGUGUUUACUUAUUGUUCUAAUCACCCCUUUAGUUCUUUCUCGCGCUUUAAUGCGAUUAUUUCCGGUUCCGCUCGGUCAGAGCUCGGGUCACCGAUCCAACUACUCCCCCUCAUAUUAAUUACAUUAAUUAGCACGCGGGAUGAAAAACAAACAAGCGAUGAUUAAUAUCCGAACUAUGGCGAAUUCUUUAAAGGCAAGACAAAUGUGGAGCGACAAUCUCACUUAAGGGGAAAAUAAAUAAACAAAAAAGGGGGAAAUUUACUAAAAAGAGAAAACAAAAACAAGGAAAUACAAAUCUAGGCCCAAGUGAAUGUCACGUGUUAAAUCGGAAGUACAAGGCUGAAUGUUUGACCUGUCCAUAAUAUCAGACAUAUUGUCUCUCACGUUAUUGACAUGAAAUAGAGAUUUUAAUUUAAGACUAUUUUAAUAGGAGCUUUGAUGUGACACAAAAUCCACUUUACUCACUUAAAAAAAAUAAACAAAAUUUCAAAUUUACCUGAGUGACUAAUUAAGUUUUAUUAGAGAAAAAUAUGUUUCUAUGAGGAUAUUUCCCUUUUACAGUAUAAUUUAUAUAUUAGUGUUUACCAUAUUGUGCCUAAAUGUAGAGCUUGCCAAAUUACCAAAGACAGAACUUUUAUUACGUAGGUUCUUUAUUGCAUAUAUUGAGUGCUUAUUUGAUUUUCUCAGUGUUGAAUAGCUAUAACUGUUUUGUUUCUUGAGGUUUUUGAGCAUAACAUAGCUGGGCAUAUCCUUUCUGGGCCUCCUCGAGGCUUUUCCUGUUAUUCCUAAAAGAACAAAAAUAAGUCAAGCCUAGAGAAGUCAUUUCUCCAAGAGCAGACAGAAAGGCUGAGUAGUAUAUAUUUUUUAUUAUUAUUUUUGGCUAUUAUGAAGAAUAAACUCCAAAUACUGGUCUUUACUUAAUCCUUGUUUAAUAAAGAGCAUCCACAAUAACUUAAAUUUGACAGUAGGAUCAUUAUUUUUUUAAUGUUUACCAAAUUACAUUUUAAAAAGCUCUUUAUUGUGUCUCAGGAAAACAUACUUCACAUAGGUUAAACUCUACAUAACAACUUAGUUCACAUUCAGACACCCGUCCAUCCUUUCCUGAUAACACUACAGGCCCAUAAAUGAUAGUUUUCUGCCUUCCAGGUCUCUCUUUCCCUGCCUGAAGUAGCCCCCCAACAUUAGCGGCCUACAGUAUUCUCCAUGUUUUGAUGUUAUGGGCGCGAGCCGGAGGUCAGGGUCGCAGUGUUGCAGCGCGCGGCGACAAGCAGAGCAAAAAAGGGUCGCUGUCUCGCGCUUUGUUCCGCACUCAAUUGUCUCGGGGGGCUGCGCGUGAACCCUGAGACCCGCAGCUGUCUGGAAGACAGAGGCGAGAGAGGAAAGAGGGAGAAGUUUGAUAUCGAAUAAAAGGGUAAAAAUGGCCGAUAUAGAUCUGAUUAAAAGGCUUGUUUCAAAGGUGACGGAGUGUUUGGUCCUGCCGGGUGGAUUUUUCAGCGAACUCGGUCUUUUAUUUAGACAGAGAGCUGAAAGAAGGUGGCCUUGCUUCCACCGUUUAACCUUCAUAGUAGGCUACACCAAACAUGACUUCCCCCACUUUUAUCUACAUUUAUGUUUUGGUCUCCAGUGCAACCAGAGUUAUGUGAAAGUGAAUCAACAGCCAAACAUUUUUGUUUGUAUUCUGGAUAAAAAAAAUCUUAACGUUCGCCUAUUUUUGGAUUACCUCGAGCAAAAAUUGAAUCGUGACUGACAACAUUCAUGUUAGAAUAUUUGACACAGAAAAAAAUCCCCUUCAUCCCUGAGACGUAAUCGAUACAUCCUGUAUUGAUUUUCUCAUAGGCUAAACAUCUUUUGUUCUUUUCACCCCCUUUAACUACUAAAUGUUGUUUUUAAACCCCCCGAUUUAACAUAUAGAUGAUAUAUAUUGCCAGUAUUAGUGAUUAAUCAACAUGUGAACUGCAUGGAAAGGAAGAACUGUGUCUUAUUUGACUUUUUUCUCAUUGGUUUAUAUUGAAUCAAACUGACUGUGGUUAAGGGUUGGUGUUGUUUAACUUGGAUGACUGUCUUCUGUGAAACGUUGUCCUCCGAGUGAGCCAACGGGAGAGAGAGCGCACAUGUUCAGGAAAUGCUGCCUGUCGUUGUUCCGCCACGUAACAAAGUUCUCGACGAGAACAGAGCAAAUCGGCGAAUGUCAGCUUGAGUGGGAAUUUCCAGUUGGCAAAUUAAAUAUUACAAUAUUAAAAUGAAAUGUUACGCGUUCACAGGUGUGUGUCAGCGAACAAUGAGAGCCGAGAACCGGAACUAUCCAUUUUGUCACAAAUACUUUGCGCAGAAGAAGGAGAGAGGAGAGGCACUCACUCUCCAACAGCAGAGGAGUGAGAGUAAAGUUGUGGCGCAGGGUACUGCAUCUGCUGCACAUCCACCGUGCGUAAUGUGUAAGGACCGCCGUGCGUAACAGGUGUACACUCACAAAGGAGGAGAGAAGUUUGGAGAAAGUCUCUCAAAGGCUCUUUUAGAGGUGCCUGAAGGGACACAGGACGUCAAAGCUCCGAACAAGCAACUUUUCCUUGUUUAUCCCCAAAAAACCGCAGACCCACACCGGCAUUACGCACAUAAAUAAAUGUUAACUGCAUUUACCGCCGUCCUGUGCCCCACAGAAAGUGAGUCAAACAUGAAAAGGGAAAGAAAGGGAGAGGAAAAAGGAGAGAAGGAGGAGAAUGGGACGGGGGCGGGAAAGUUUAGUAAAGUGGAACUUGGUAACAGAUGCGAGUGAGGGGGGCGCGGCCCUGCAGGGAAGGGUGGGGAUUGUAUAUAGUGUGUAUGUACGCGUUAUUCGUGCGUUGGCGGGUGCACGUCCAUGAAUUUGUGUGCGUAAGCUCAUGCAGGAAAAGGACAGGGCAUGAGCGCACAUUGACAGAGCGGCUCUUUUUUACUCGGCGUGAUCAUUUCACGCUUCCCCC